rnacentral:rRNA from 1 species
AGUGAACGCUGGCGGUAGGCCUAACACAUGCAAGUCGAACGGCAGCACAGUAAGAGCUUGCUCUUACGGGUGGCGAGUGGCGGACGGGUGAGGAAUACAUCGGAAUCUACUUUUUCGUGGGGGAUAACGUAGGGAAACUUACGCUAAUACCGCAUACGACCUACGGGUGAAAGCAGGGGAUCUUCGGACCUUGCGCGAUUGAAUGAGCCGAUGUCGGAUUAGCUAGUUGGCGGGGUAAAGGCCCACCAAGGCGACGAUCCGUAGCUGGUCUGAGAGGAUGAGCAGCACACUGGAACUGAGACACGGUCCAGACUCCUACGGGAGGCAGCAGUGGGGAAUAUUGGACAAUGGGCGCAAGCCUGAUCCAGCCAUACCGCGUGGGUGAAGAAGGCCUUCGGGUUGUAAAGCCCUUUUGUUGGGAAAGAAAAGCAGCAGGUUAAUACCCCGCUGUUCUGACGGUACCCAAAGAAUAAGCACCGGCUAACUUCGUG